CAGACUGUAACUGCCAGAGCAGCGCU
rnacentral:piRNA from 1 species